rnacentral:lncRNA from 1 species
AAAAGGGAAGGGUCAUACUGGCAUGAUGGGGUAAAAAGGGAAGGGUCAUACUGGCAUGAUGGGGUAAAAGGGAAGGGUCAUACUGGCAUGGGGGGUAAAAGGGAAGGGUCAUACUGGCAUGGAGGUUAAAAGGGAAGGGUCAUACUGGCAUGGGGGGUAGAAGGGAAGGGUCAUACUGGCAUGGGGGGUAAAAGGGAAGGGUCAUACUGGCAUGAUGGGGUAAAAGGGAAGGGUCAUACUGGCAUGGGGGGGUAGAAGGGAAGGGUCAUACUGGCAUGGGGGGUAAAAGGGAAGGGUCAUAUAGACAUGGGGGGUAGAAGGGAAGGGUCAUACUGGCAUGGGGGGUAAAAGGGAAGGGUCAUAUAGACAUGGGGGGUAGAAGGGAAGGGUCAUACUGGCAUGGGGGGUAAAAGGGAAGGGUCAUAUAGACAUGGGGGGGUAGAAGGGAAGGGUCAUACUGGCAUGGGGGGGUAGAAGGGAAGGGUCAUACUGGCAUGGGGGGUAAAAGGGAAGGGUCAUACUGGCAUGGGGGGGGGUAAAAGGGAAGGGUCAUACUGGCAUGGGGGGGUAGAAGGGAAGGGUCAUACUGGCAUGGGGGGUAAAAGGGAAGGGUCAUAUAGACAUGGGGGGUAGAAGGGAAGGGUCAUACUGGCAUGGAGGUUAAAAGGGAAGGGUCAUACUGGCAUGGAGGUUAAAAGGGAAGGGUCAUACUGGCAUGGGGGGUAAAAGGGAAGGGUCAUACUGGCAUGGAGGUUAAAAGGGAAGGGUCAUACUGGCAUGGGGGGUAAAAGGGAAGGGUCAUACUGGCAUGAUGGGGUAAAAGGGAAGGGUCAUACUGGCAUGGGGGGUAGAAGGGAAGGGUCAUACUGGCAUGGAGGGUAAAAGGGAAGGGUCAUACUGGCAUGGGGGUAAAAGGGAAGGGUCAUACUGGCAUGAUGGGGUAAAAGGGAAGGGUCAUACUGGCAUGGGGGGGUAAAAGGGAAGGGUCAUACUGGCAUGGGGGGUAAAAGGGAAGGGUCAUACUGGCAUGAGGGGGUAGAAGGGAAGGGUCAUACUGGCAUGGAGGGUAAAAGGGAAGGGUCAUACUGGCAUGAGAGGUUAAAAGGGAAGGGUCAUACUGGCAUGGGGGUUAAAAGGGAAGGGUCAUACUGGCAUGAUGGGGUAAAAGGGAAGGGUCAUACUGGCAUGGGGGGUAGAAGGGAAGGGUCAUACUGGCAUGGGGGGUAAAAAGGGAAGGG